GAGUUUGAUCGUGGCUCAGGAUGAACGCUAGCGGCAGGCCUAAUACAUGCAAGUCGAGGGGCAGCACGGUUAGCAAUAACUGGUGGCGACCGGCGCACGGGUGCGUAACACGUAUACAAUCUGCCUUUAACAGGGGGAUAGCCCGGAGAAAUCCGGAUUAAUACCCCAUAAUACUCGGUGUGGCAUCACACUAAGUUAAAAGCUCCGGCGGUUAAAGAUGAGUAUGCGUCUGAUUAGCUAGUUGGUGAGGUAACGGCUCACCAAGGCGACGAUCAGUAGGGGAUCUGAGAGGAUUAACCCCCACACGGAUACUGAGACACGGAUCCGACUCCUACGGGAGGCAGCAGUAAGGAAUAUUGGACAAUGCCCGCAAGGGUGAUCCAGCCAUGCCGCGUGCAGGAAGACGGCCCUAUGGGUUGUAAAACUGC
rnacentral:rRNA from 1 species